AGCAAGUUUCUGUUUGGUUACGACGAUCAGAAGCUUUGGAUCCCCAAGCAAAUCUCUCCGGCACCCACAGAGUCAAAACCUGAGUCUUUUAUAUCCCCACCAGUUGCCGACGCCAACGGCGUUUCUGCAAUCAAGAACCAGCGUGGAAAAAUAUGCAUACUCUCCAUCGACGGCGGCGGCAUGAGAGGGAUUCUUUCUGGGAAAGCAUUGGCCUAUCUGGAGCACGCGCUCAAAACCAAAUCAGGCAAUCCUGACGCCAGAAUCGCUGAUUAUUUCGACGUCGC
rnacentral:misc_RNA from 1 species